CUAAAAUAUUGACAUAAGCUGCUUUCACAAACUUGUAUUCCCCAGGGGCAAUAAUCAGGCCUCAUUUGCUGCUUUUCUGUCAUCUUGUGCAGGGUUAUACUCAUAUCUCUGAAACUGUUUUUUGUCUCUGCAAAAUAAAUGAGUGAUGCUACACUAGGUCCACCUCAAAAUGGAUGCUGAUGGAUAGAGCUCAAUGCAUUAACUUUGAUGGUGCAGAAACAUAUCAAGGGACUCUCUUUAUGUCUUUUGAAAUACAUUUUCAAUUUUCAGGUUAUUUUGCUACCCUCAAUGUACUUUCUUUUAACUUACACCAUUACCUAGAGUAUAAAGCCUUUUUAUACUACUCUAUUACUAGUAACUUUCAUGUGUUUGAAGAUGGUUAUAACAUUUUUCUCAUUGAACUCCUUGCUAAUCAAUUAAUAAGAAUAGAGUAAAAUAUUUAUUCAAAACCACUCAGACUCCCAGUGAGCAAAGAUGCAGAAAAAAAGAAUAAUAGAAGAAAGCAUGGAGUAAGGCAUUAUUCAAAGGUAAGACUGGCCAAAUUCUGCCCUAAGAAGUGUCUGCUUUGUCAAUUAUUUCAGUCUAUUCAUCUUUCAAAAACAUUAGUACAUACAAUGUUUGGAUAAUGACAAAUGAGAUCAAAGAUGGACUAAUCAAGUAAUAAGUGUUAAAUGAAAAUGCAAUAGGAAAGUGUGUGAACUAAUUUUAAUAGACACUAGUUUUCUGGUUUGGGUUAUUUCUUGUUCUUCAGUUGCAAGAAUCAUUUUGUUCUACCAAAAUGAUUUUUCUUGAGACUGGUGACAGUCUCAUUUUUCACUAUCAAGUAACUCUGCAUUAUCAAUUACAUUGUAUCUUAUUACAAAGCUGUCUGUUCCAAUGCUCCACUAUGAUAUUGUUAGGGGGAAAUAGCAUCACAGAAAUCUUUCAGAAAUGAAAGAUUCACUUCUUUAAUAACAUUUCUAUAAAUAUACUAUCAGAAUGUAGUAUGUCAAAGGCAAAUCAUUUUGACUAAUAAAAGCUGAUAUAACUGGGAGCGUGGGGGAAGGGCACAAAUAUAGAUAUAGUAGGCAAGUCUUCAGUUCCUCUAUGUACUUUGACUCUAGAAGGCCAAAAGAUGGGUAAAAGGGGUAGCUAACUCUGAAGGUGCUCACAACCUCUACGUUUUGGCAGUCCCCAAGUCACAAAAUGGAACUUGAAGCUGCAUGAGUUUAUAUCGACUCUCAGCCUUACUCAGACCUUUGCUUACCCCAACAUUGAGGUCUGAUAUCCAAAUCUGAGAGAUUAAAUGUGACGUAUACAUAAAAUAAAAGGCUUAUGAUCUUCACCAUUCUUAAAUGUUUGUAUAAGUCAUAUCCAUAUCCACAAUACUUCCUGAGUUAUAACUGCUCACUUUCCCAUGCUAUGAUUUCCGUGUUUCCUACAAAUGAGGUUGAGAAUCUUUUAAGGGUGCUGAUUUUCACUUAGCUCUGAGGAUUUUACUCUAUCUGCAUUUAUGUGGGGAUAGUUAUCACUGGCAAAGAGCCAGAAGCAAAGCCAAACCAGUGUGCCCAGAAUAGGAAAUAUUGUUGCUGUUACAUAGUUGCCCAUAAAUCUGUCCCAUUUUGUACCUCAUAGAGAACCGUGGUUUUUCAUUAUAAAAUAUUAGCUCCAAAUAAAUUCAAACAAUCUUUUUUCCCUUCCCCCAAAGUUCAAAGCAUAGUGCUAGCACUGUUAGACCUACUGCCUUCUGUAGUACUACUGACUCACCUACCCAUCUCAGUCUAGCUCAUGGAAGACAGUGUGAAUCUCAAGCACCUCCAUUACAUUUCCAUUAGGUUCUUUAGUGACAUAUGAAAUCACAUUAGGCUUUGCUCUGACUGAAAUAUGUAAUUUCUUUUUUUUUUAACCAGGCGUGGAUAUUUCCAUAAGAAACAGCUAUUUUUAUGACUGAUUUCAUUUCUCCAGACACCCAGCCAUGUUGUCACUUGUCUCUCCAAAAAGCUUCCCUUAGUGAAGCUUUCUCCUAUGAAGCUAGAACCUUCUGAUACAGCCUAAUUUGGAAGGCGAGGACACUAAAUUGUUCCAUUAAUGUGGAGCUGUCAUUGGAGUAAUGGUGACAGUCUUUAGUUUCUGGGGGAGUUUAUUCCAUGCUGACCCCUGUGCAGAUAUCUCUGAAAGAGACCUUGCUGGAAAGGAAUGGUCUAAUGUAGAUCAGUUAUAUUGUUCCAUACACCAUACUGGGACAGUUUCAGAGAUCAUCUUUUCUGUGUGAGAAAAUGCAAUAGUAAAGAAGAAGCAUGGACCUUGGUCAGAGAAGUAGCUUUGUACCAUGAAGUAGUGACCUUUUAUCUGAUUCAAGAUAACUGGAUUAUUUGUUUUAAGUGAUCCUUAUUAAUAGAGCUUGAGUAUUUAUUCAUAUAGCUAAACCCAAACCUCAUGAUACAAGAGAUCAUUUUGUUACAGACCUGUGUAAAAACAAUCUAUUGUUGUAUAUACAGUACUGUUCAAGAUUCUUAAUGCCAGAGUAUCAGAUUCUCUAAGGACUCUUAUCUUCAAAAGCUGCUGCACUAUCCUUUUCCAUUCCUGAACAGAGGGCUUGACCAGGGCUGGCCUUCUAGUCACUGAUAUGCACUGGAACAGCCUUGACUGACAUGUUGUGUUAGUAAAGACUUUAAUCAAGAGUGUUUAAAACUGGCUGGAGGCUGCUCAGCAAAACUAGCUGAUCUGGAUGAGCAUAACUAAGCUCACAAUUAAAGAAUAGUUUUAAAUAAUGCUGUUGUUACAUUAUGAAUGAUUUUUCUGUACAAAAUAAUAUGCUUCUGUGAAUCUAUUAACGUAUGCAAUUACACUGGCUAGUUUGCCUAGCCACAUGUUUUAUUUUAAAUUAAUCAAACCAUUGGUCAAAAUUACAGGGAUAAGUGAGUUUGGCUCAAAUCAAUGUCAUGGCACACAGUUAAUAAACUUAAUAUUCUGUGUGACUUUUAAUGUAAAAUUGUUUUAAUUUUGUUCACUUCCUCUUGCCAGAGAGACUUGCGGGACAAUUUUUCAGAUAAUUUAGAUGUGUAGUUACUGUGAUUAUACAGACAAUUGUGUGAUAAGUUAUUGUAAGCUGGCAUUUCAUGUUUACUCACCCAGCUGGCAUACAUAAAGAAAGUAAUUACAGUCACACAUUAGUCCCAUAAUCACAUACUUAAAGUGUUCUAAAAUCUGGUUCUGACUGUCCAAGUGUAAUGGCUUGCUUCUAAGAAAAAAUAAAUAAAUGUGAUUCAGGUUGUGUUGGUAUUAUGCCUUUAUUUUCAAGUCAGUGAAAGCAGUGAAAAUCUUCACCUGCAGCUGCAGGUAGCUUCAGUUGCAAGGAGGCCUAAAAUUUACAGUAAGAAUAGUUUACACUUCCUCUCAGGACAGUUGUGAUACAGAAAAACUGCAACAUUUUAUCUGACCUGCUAUGCUUUGCAGUUUCCUGCUGUGACU
ensembl:lncRNA